CAUUCCUCAUUACACCUUGUAUUCAUUUGCCCUUUCUAUUUUCCUGAGGAACCUGAUGGGCUCAACAUCCCGCACGGUACUUGACUCAAACGGUGGCAGACCUCGACCCAGAUGGUGGCGAAGCUCGACCUAGAUGAUGGUGGUGACUCAUACGAACAGCUCGACCCAGAUAGUGUAUUUCUCAUCUUUAUCUUUCGCUUUGCUUUGCUGGAUAUUUGGAAGCCCUAAUUAAUUGUGAACCCAUAACUGAAAUCGCCGAGGAAAUUGCUUUGGCGUCGGAAUUAGAUAGUGGUGGUGGAACCUUGGUCGGUGUCCGACAAUGGUGCUCAAAUCUUGGUUGGUGGGCGGCGGGCUUGAUAGCGCAGCAAGAGACGGGCUGGAAAUGGACGAAGAAUGUGAGUUGGAAAAUGCAAACCGAUUUUGUGAAGAUAAUAGUUUGUGAUUCUAUGUGGGGAGGUCUAAAGAAUUUAUUGUAUUUUAUC